UUUUCUUAUGGCAUUGGAUAAAAUAUUAUAUAAGGAAAGUUCCCAAUGGAACUUUUGUUAUAUGCUAAAAGCUCUUUGGAACAAAUAUUAUGGGGGAACUUAUAUUCUGUCACAGUUUGUGUUACGGUAUAUGGUCUAGAGAGACAAGGAAGAGGUUUGUGUUACGAUUUAUGGUCUAGAUAGACACGGGGGACGUUUGUGUCACAGUAUAUGGUCUGGAUAGACAAGGGGGAGGUUUGUGUUGCGGUAUAUGAACUGGAUAGACAACGGUGAGGUUUGUGUUACGGUAUAUGGUCUGGAUAGACAAGGGUAACGUUUGUAUUACGUUUUACGGUAUAUGGUCUAGAUAGACAAAGGGGACAUUCUUGUUACGGUAUAUGGUCUAGAUAGACAAGGAGGAUAUUCGUGUUACGGUAUAUGGUCUGGAUAGACAAGGGGGAGGUUUGUGUUACGGUAUAUGGUCUGGGUAGACAAGGGUGAUGUUUGUAUUACUUUUUACGGUAUAUGGUCUAGAUAGACAAAGGGGACAUUCUUGUUACGGUAUAUGGUCUAGAUAGACAAGGGGGAUAUUUGUGUUACGGUAUAUGGUCUGGAUAGACAAGGGGGAGGUUUGUGUUACGGUAUAUGGUCUGGAUAGACAAAGGGGAGGUUUGUGUUACGGUAUAUGGUCUGGAUAGACAAGGGGGACGGUUGUGUUACGGUAUAUGGUCUGGAUAGACAAAGGGGAGGUUUGUGUUACGGUAUAUGGUCUGGAUAGACAAGGGGGACGUUUGUGUCACGGUAUAUGGUCUAGAUAGACAAGGAGGAGGUUUAUGUUACGGUAUAUGGUCUAGCUAGACAAGGGGGAGGUUUGAGUUACGGUAUAUGGUGUAGAUAGACAAGGAGGUUUAUGUUACGGUAUAUGGUGUAGAUAGACAAGGAGGAUGUUUGUGUAAUGGUAUAUGGUGUAGAUAGACAAAGAGGUUUGAGUUAUGUUAUAUGGUGUAGAUAGACAUAUAGGAGGUUUGUGUUACGGUAUAUGGUCUGGAUAGACAAGCGGGAGGUUUGUGUUACGGUAUAUGGUCUGGAUAGACAAGGGGGACGUUUGUGUUACGGUAUAUGAUCUAGCUAGACAAGGGGGAGGUUUGUGUUAUGGUUUAUGAUGUAGAUGGACAAGGAAGUUUGUGUUACGGUAUAUGGUGUAGAUAGACAAGGAGGAUGUUUGUGUAAUGGUAUAUGGUGUAGAAAGACAAGGCGGAGGUUUGUGUUACGGUAUAUGGUGUAGAUAGACAAGGAGGUUUGUGUUACGAUAUAUGGUGUAGAUAGACAAGGAGGAGGUUUGUGUUUCGGUAUAUAGACUAUAGUCUAGAUAAAACAAAGAGGAGGUUUGUGUUACGGUAUACGGUCUGAUAGACAAGGGGGAGGUUUGAGUAACGGUAUAUGGUGUAGAUAGACAAGGAAGUUUGUGUUACGGUAUAUGGUGUAGAUAGACAAGGAAGUUUGUGUUACGGUAUAUGUUGUAGAUAGACAAAUAGGAUGUUUAUGUAAUGGUAUAUGGUGUAGAUAGACAAGGCGGAGGUUUGUGUUACGGUAUAAAGUGUAGAUAGACAAGGAGGUUUGAGUUACGGUAUAUGGUGUAGAUAGACAAGGAGGUUUGAGUUACGGUAUAUGGUGUAGAUAGACAAGGAGGAUGUUUGUGUUUCGGUAUAUGGUGUAGAUAGACAAGGCGGAGGUUUGUGUUACGGUAUAAGGUGUAGAUAGACAAGGAAGUUUGUGUUACGAUAUAUGGUGUACAUAGACAAGGAGGAUGUUUUUGUAAUGGUAUAUGGUGUGGAUAGACAAGGAAGAGGUUUUAGGUACGGUUUAUGGUCUAGAUAGACAAGGGGGACGUUUGUGUUACGAUAUGUGGUCUAGAUAGACAAGGAGGAGGUUUGUGUUACGGUAUAUGGUCUAGAUAGACAAUGAGGAGGUUUGUGUAACGAUAUAUGGUAUGGAUAGACAAGGGGGAGGUUUGUGUUACGGUAUAUGGUCUGGAUAGACAAGAGGGACGUUUGUGUUACUGUAUAUUGUCUAGAUAGGCAAGAGGAGGUUUGUGUUACGGUAUAUGGUCUGGAUAGACAAGGGGGACGUUUGUGUUACGGUAUAUGGUCUAGAUAGACAAGGGGAGGUUUGUGUUACGGUAUAUGGUCUGGAUAGACAAGGGGGACGUUUGUGUUGCAUUAUAUAUUGUCUAGAUAGACAAGGUGACGUUUGUGUUACGGUAUAUGGUGUAGAUAGACAAGGGGAGGUUUGUGUUACGGUAUAUGGUCUGGAUAGACAAGGGGGACGUUUGUGUUACGGUAUAUGGUGUAGAUAGACAAGGAGGAGGUUUGUGUUACGGUAUAUGGUGUCGAAAGACAAGGAGGAGGUUUAUGUUACGGGAUAUGGUCUAGCAAGACAAGGGGGAGGUUUUUGUUACGGUAUAUGGCUCGAUAGACAAGGGGGACGUUUGUGUUACGGUAUAUGGUCUGGAUAGACAAGGGGAACGUUUGCGUUACGGUAUAUGGUCUAGAUAGACAUGGGGGAGGUUUGUGUUACGGUAUAUGGUCUAGAUAGACAU